rnacentral:rRNA from 1 species
GAUCAUGGCUCAGGAUGAACGCUAGCUACAGGCUUAACACAUGCAAGCCGAGGGGAAACGACAUCGAAAGCUUGCUUUUGAUGGGCGUCGACCGGCGCACGGGUGAGUAACGCGUAUCCAACCUGCCCAUCACUUGGGAAUAACCUUGCGAAAGUAAGACUAAUGCCCAAUGAUAUCCCACGAAGGCAUCCGAAUGGGAUUAAAGAAAUUCGGUAUGAGAUGGGGAUGCGUUCCAUUAGUUUG